UCCUACGGGGCGCAGCAGUGAGGAAUAUUGGUCAAUGGACGAGAGUCUGAACCAGCCAAGUAGCGUGAAGGAUGACUGCCCUAUGGGUUGUAAACUUCUUUUAUAUGGGAAUAAAGUGAGCCACGUGUGGCUUUUUGUAUGUAACAUACGAAUAAGGAUCGGCUAACUCCGUGCCAGCAGCCGCGGUAAUACGGAGGAUCCGAGCGUUAUCCGGAUUUAUUGGGUUUAAAGGGAAACUAGGAGGAUACUUACACCA
rnacentral:rRNA from 1 species